GUGGGGAAUAUUCCGCAAUGGACGAAAGUCUGACGGAGCAACGCCGCGUGAGUGAUGAAGGUUUUCGGACUGUAAAGCUCUGUUGUUUAGGACGAAAGUGCCUGUUGCAAAUAGUUACAGGUAUUGACGGUACUGAACGAGGAAGCCACGGCUAACUACGUGCCAGCAGCCGCGGUAAUACGUAGGUGGCAAGCGUUGUCCGGAAUUAUUGGGCGUAAAGAGCAUGUAGGCGGGAAUCUAAGUCUGUUGUGAAAAUGCGGGGCUCAACUCCGUAUUGCGAUGGAAACUGGGUUUCUUGAGUGCAGGAGAGGAAAGGGGAAUUCCCAGUGUAGCGGUGAAAUGCGUAGAUAUUGGGAGGAACACCAGUGGCGAAGGCGCCUUUCUGGACUGUGUCUGACGCUGAGAUGCGAAAGCCAGGGUAGCGAACGGGAUUAGAAACCCUAGUAGUCC
rnacentral:rRNA from 1 species